GUCUCUGUAGCUCAGUUGGUUAGAGCGCUGCACCGGAAUCGCAGGGUGCCAGGUUCGACUCCUGCCAGGAACC
rnacentral:tRNA from 1 species